rnacentral:rRNA from 1 species
CCAACAGGGAUUGCCCCAGUAACGGCGAGUGAAGCGGCAACAGCUCAAAUUUGAAAUCUGGCCCCCAGGGCCCGAGUUGUAAUUUGCAGAGGAUGCUUUUGGCGACGCGCCUUCCGAGUUCCCUGGAACGGGACGCCAUAGAGGGUGAGAGCCCCGUCUGGUUGGACGCCGAGCCUCUGUAAAGCUCCUUCGACGAGUCGAGUAGUUUGGGAAUGCUGCUCUAAAUGGGAGGUAUAUGUCUUCUAAAGCUAAAUACCGGCCAGAGACCGAUAGCGCACAAGUAGAGUGAUCGAAAGAUGAAAAGCACUUUGAAAAGAGGGUUAAAUAGUACGUGAAAUUGUUGAAAGGGAAGCGCUCACGACCAGACUUGAGCCCGGUGAAUCAUCCAGCGUUCUCGCUGGUGCACUUCGCCGGGCCCAGGCCAGCAUCGGUUCGCCGCGGGGGAGAAAGGCGUCGGGAACGUGGCUCCCUCGGGAGUGUUAUAGCCCGUCGCACAAUACCCUGGGGCGGACCGAGGUUCGCGCAUCUGCAAGGAUGCUGGCGUAAUGGUCGUCAGCGACCCGUCUUGAAACACGGACCAAGGAGUCGUCUUCGUAUGCGAGUGUUCGGGUGUAAAACCCCUACGCGUAAUGAAAGUGAACGCAGGUGAGAGCUUCGGCGCAUCAUCGACCGAUCCUGAUGUUCUCGGAUGGAUUUGAGUAAGAGCAUACGGGGCCGGACCCGAAAGAAGGUGAACUAUGCCUGUGUAGGGUGAAGCCAGAGGAAACUCUGGUGGAGGCUCGCAGCGGUUCUGACGUGCAAAUCGAUCGUCAAACAUGGGCAUGGGGGCGAAAGACUAAUCG